rnacentral:rRNA from 1 species
GACGAACGCUGGCGGCGUGCCUAAUACAUGCAAGUUGAGCGCUGAAGGUUGGUACUUGUACCGACUGGAUGAGCAGCGAACGGGUGAGUAACGCGUGGGGAAUCUGCCUUUGAGCGGGGGACAACAUUUGGAAACGAUUGCUAAUACCGCAUAAAAACUUUAAACACAAGUUUUAAGUUUGAAAGAUGCAAUUGCAUCACUCAAAGAUGAUCCCGCGUUGUAUUAGCUAGUUGGUGAGGUAAAGGCUCACCAAGGCGAUGAUACAUAGCCGACCUGAGAGGGUGAUCGGCCACAUUGGGACUGAGACACGGCCCAAACUCCUACGGGAGGCAGCAGUAGGGAAUCUUCGGCAAUGGACGAAAGUCUGACCGAGCAACGCCGCGUGAGUGAAGAAGGUUUUCGGACCGUAAAACUCUGUUGGUAGAGAAGAACGUUGGUGAGAGUGGAAAGCUCAUCAAGUGACGGUAACUACCCAGAAAGGGACGGCUAACUACGUG